AUGGAACUGAGAUCUCCCGAAAGCAUUGUUGAGGUCGAUACUGAACUAACGGAUGGUAAGGUUUACUUCCACAGAUUCUUUAUGGCACUUAAGCCUUGUGUAGACGGAUUCCAUGCAGGAUGUAGGCCUUAUCUGAGCAUAGACUCAACUACAUUAAAUGGAAAGUGGAAUGGUCAUUUAGCUGCAUGUACCGCUUUAGAUGGUCAUAAUUGGAUGUUUCCUCUUGCAUUUUGUUUUAUUGAGGUUGAAGAUGAAGAUAAUUGGACAUGGUUCAUGACACACUUGCAUAGAGCAUUAGGACCAAUUUCAAAGCUUGCUAUAUGUACCGAUGCAUGCAAAGGCUUAGAAAAUGCAGUUAAGAAAGUUUUCCCUCAGGGAGAACAAAGGGAGUGUUUCAGGCAUUUGAUGCAGAAUUUUUCA
rnacentral:rRNA from 1 species